rnacentral:misc_RNA from 1 species
UCUCCCGUAAGGGAGCAGUCUCGCCUGACACGUAUAACAGGCAACGAGGGUUGCGUUCGUUUCCCCACUGAAGGGAACAACUCAAGCCACGAACUGACGACGACCGUGCAUCACCUGUCCAACCGUCCGUGAGGACUGCUAAAGUUUCCUCUAGCAUUCGAUUGGAUUUCUAGCCCUGGUAAGGUUUUUCGCUUACCGACGAAUUAAGCCACAUGAUCCACCGCUUGUGCGAGCCCCCGUCUAUUCCUUUGAGUUUUAGCCUUGCGGCCGUACUACCCAGGCGGUCCCCUUAACGCGUUAGCUUCGCCUCAUAGAGGGUCGAUACUCCAUAAAGCCAGGGGACAUCGUUUAGGGCGUGGACUAC